GAUGAACGCUGGCGGCGUGCCUAAUACAUGCAAGUCGAGCGAACGGACGAGAAGCUUGCUUCUCUGAUGUUAGCGGCGGACGUGUGAGUAACACGUGGAUAACCUACCUAUAAGACUUGGAUAACUUCGGGAAACCGGAGCUAAUACCGGAUGAUAUUUUGAACCGCAUGGUUCAAAAGUGAAAGACGGUCUUGCUGUCACUUAUAGAUGGAUCCGCGCUGCAUUAGCUAGUUGGUAAGGUAACGGCUUACCAAGGCAACGAUGCAUAGCCGACCUGAGAGGGUGAUCGGCAACACUGGAACUGAGACACGGUCCAGACUCCUACGGGAGGCAGCAGUAGGGAAUAUUCCGCAAUGGGCGAAAGCAUGACGGAGCAAAGCCGCGUGAGUGAUGAAGGUCUUCGGAUCGUAAAACUCUGUUAUUAGGGAAGAACAUAUGUGUAAGUAACUGUGCACAUCUUGACGGUACCUAAUCAGAAAGCCACGGCUAACUACGUG
rnacentral:rRNA from 1 species